UUUAUCAAAGGUCAUAUCUGAGAAGCAUCAGAAUCAAUGAUCCAUGUGUGAUGAGUUAGGUUAGAUAAAAAAGAAGUGAAAAAAUGACAAGCAUAAUGCAUAGCAGCCAGAUUUGCACUAGCAGAUUGUUAAGAAUUGGAGGCUACAGAUUAAACUGACUGGAACAUCUGAAUCAAUUGAUCACAUUGUUCUUUGGUGAAACCUUGGCUCCCAACAAGAGAAGAGACUGCAUCUGCACCAAUACAUGAGGUAAGUUUUGGUUCUACUGUUGCUGCAUUAGCUUGUGGACUAGCAAAAAAAUUGUCUUGGAUAAGUAAACUUAAAGUGUGAGGUAUAAACAACUAGCUUAUAGCAAUUCUCCUUAACAUGACCAGCUUUCUUGCAAUAUUGCAGAACAAACUUGCUCUCUUAAACUCAUUGUUGCUCAAUUGAUUUGUUCUUUUGUAUUCACCACAAAUUUUAGGAGCUGACCACUUUUUCCCAGAAGCAAGGGAAGCAGAAGAAUCAGCGCUAAGAACAGUAUUAGAAUACAUAUCUCUUUGAGAUUUCUCAUGUAACACUAUAAAGUAAGCUUGUGCAGUAGUUUGAAGAGGUUUCAUCAUCAAGUAAUUUCCUCUUAUACUAGUGUAAACAUAAUUAAGUUCUAUUAAAUUUUGUAUCAAUUGGAGGUCCUCAUUCAUCUUGAUGUUAUGUAUUUUUGCCCAACGGUUGCAUUCAUAGUUGCAAAUCAUGAAAGUAUUGAGCAAUUUAAGCUGAUCCCAGAUUCAUUUGAGUUUAGUAAAAUACCCUGCAAUAUCAUUGGUACAUUGACUAAUAGUAUUCAAUUCUCGUUGCAGUUGAAAGAGUUUUGUAUCAUCUGCUUGUCCAUAUCAUUGUUCAAGCUCUGUCCAAAGCUCAUUUGCAGUCUGGGAAUAGAUCACACUCUCAACAAUGUUCCUGCUAAGAGAGUUGAGCAGCCAAGCUAUCACUAUGUCGUUGCAUGUUCUCCAUUGGUCAAAGAAAGGUGAAUUGGGAGUAGGACAUGGUCAAGAACAAUUGAUAAAUCCCAGUUUAUUUUUGGCUGACAGAGAAAUAGAACUCCCCUACGCCAGUUCCCAUAGAAACCACCAUCAAAGGUUCCAUUGAUGAGGGUCAUUCCUGGUUUAUCAGAGGAGGACAGAAAUAGGGAUAACGUGAGUUAAUUUGUUGUGAAGGAGUGAGAGUUGAUUUUGUGGCAUCAGCCAACAAAAGGACUCUUAGGUUCUGAUUCUUCAUCACCAAUGACUAAUGUAAAAUGUAAAAAAAAUGGAGAAAAGAAAAAAUAAAACGUUCUGCUUCUUAGAGAAGCUCUG
rnacentral:lncRNA from 1 species